AGGUAUUCGUAGCUGAGGAAGGUGACGGCGUUGACGGGAAAGGCGCGGGCACUGUUGAUGGUGAGCCCCGGGAAGAAGACCCCCAGUCCUUCCUGCCGGGCGCUGCUUACCACGCAGUCCAGCACCCCCCGGAAGGGCAGUGGGCUGGGCUCCCUGUGACAUAGGGCCCUGAUGUCACCCUCCGGAGCCUGUGGGCAGUGCCAAGCUGAGGGCUUCUCCAGGAGCUGGAGUGAGAUGCUGCUCCUGGAGCUUUGGAUGAAGUCACAUCCAUGAGGCAGACUGUGAAUGUCUCUUUCCCCUAAGAGGAAUGUCACCCAGAAGCUGGGCUGAGUACAUAGGACAACAGGUGUCAGGGCCAGGAUGGGCAGCCCGUUGCCAGGUAGGACAGGGCCCAAAGGGAGUGCUCAACAGCCACCGAGGUCAAGGGUAAGCAUCCUUUCUGCACCCCACAUGGUGGACCUGGAGAGUGGGGUUUGAGGGGCAGGCUCCAGGGGUGUGUCUGGGAGAGCACUAACCUUGGCGCCGCAGGUGGCAGGUGGCGGGCAGGUGGCCUAGGGUCACGUCAGCAGCACCCUCCCCCCUGCGCCCCCUUCCCUCCCCUCUCAGGCAUCUCCUGGGAGACUGUCUGGGACAGCAUGGCACGCCAGGGCGACCAGGACUCCUGUGUCACACACCUUCCCCAGGAAAUGACCCACCAUUGUAGUUGGUGUAACAGAAGGAAGAAAAAUGUCUCACCAGAGACCCAGCCAGCCACAAACUCCUCCUCUGGCAUAGUCCAGCCGGGGCAGAACAGGUGCUCCAGCAGAGCGGCCGCUGAGAAAAUGUAAUUCUACCCUCUCCCUCCUCUGGCCCCAGACUGACAACCUCCCCUAAUGUUUAACUCUGGGUGCAGGGUGAGCAAUGGCCCACUGCCAAACCUCAGGCACCAGGAGAUGGGACCGAGCCAACCUGGGAGGCCCUGACAGGCUGGAGGAGGUGUGCAGAGCAUGAAAUCUCCUGGGGUGGGCGUGAUGGCCCGUGGUGGCCUGCCCCCCGCCGCUGGCCAACAACCAUCUGGCGGCGUGACUGGGCCUGGCAACUGGUCCCGACCUCCUCUGGCUGGGCCCCUCCAGGGCCGCCUCACUCAGGCGGGGUUUAACAAGCCUGCUCCGGGAAGGCCCUGCCUGCCCAGCCCACACCCUGCUUGGGCCCUGCAGCAGCACAUGGGAGGCCACCAACCAGCCCCGCCCACCCAGGCGGCCAGCCCUGCAGGGACAGAGCCCAGCCACCAGGGGGCAGGCGCAGCUUGGGGGAACCGCCUGAGCCGACAGGGUGGGAACAGCCCAAGUGGGGUGACUCACGGGGCCUGAAGCCUGCCUUCUCCCAGGGUUGUUGACUAACCCAUGUGAGGCAUAAACAGCCGUCCUUGGCCUCCUCUCUGUGUGUCUUUCCCAGGGAAAACCUGGGGAUUUGGGGUGUAUAAAGAGUGCUGUGUCCGCCUGGGGGUGGCUGGGCUAUGACUGCCCAAUUCUCUUUGAACAACAACCCGAACUGACUGGACAGGGACCUGAAUCCCAAUCUCUUCCUCACUGCUUCCUUCAACCCACUUUCUCUGUUGCCUGUUCAUGCAACCUGCUCGAGUGGGAAUUGUUCCCUCACCCAUCCGCUCUGUUAGGAGCUGAGCAGUGCUUAAAUACACUCCCUCUUUGAUGCUGUUUAGAAAACGAUCUUUUAUAUCAUUUAAAAAUGUUUUGCAUCUUUCAUAAAUUGUUUUUAGGUAGGGUGUUGGUGUUCACAUUCAGGACCAUGACGUAUCCAGGGCCGGUCCUGACUGGAGUACAAGGACACGGAUUCCUAUGAGAUGAACAACGGAGAAGGGGCUCAUCCAGGAUGAGUCAGAACAGGGACUCAGUCUCCUGACCACAGGAAAGAGCCCAUCACCCCUCACGAUCCACCCCACAUGCCGCUGCCUGCGUCACCUUGACCCAAGGGCCCAGCACAGUGUGGAUCCCUGACCCGGCCCGGAAACAUCUCCAUUUUACAGGUGAGGUGACCGGCCCAAAGUCACACGCGCGUGAGUGCCAGAGUUCUUGCCACGACUUCUUGCCACCAUCCCCAAUUUCGUUGAACCUUCGUCACACCCUGGUACAGGCGGGCUUCUGGGUGGGCAUACGUGUGGGGCCCACUUGCCCACCGGUCACUCGCGUGGGCGGUGGGAUUGAUUCGUAAGGCGGCCAGCCCAGGGAUGUAGCCCGCGCAGGGGUGUAGCCAGA